rnacentral:rRNA from 1 species
GAUGAACGCUAGCUACAGGCUUAACACAUGCAAGUCGAGGGACUGGCGCAUGGGUGAGUAACACGUAUCCAACCUGCCCUUUACUCGGGGAUAGCCUUUCGAAAGAUAGAUUAAUACCCCAUAUAAAGGAUGGGGAUGCGUUCCAUUAGGUUGUUGGUAAGGUACCGGCUCACCAAGGCAUCGAUGGCGAGGGGUUCUGAGAGGAAGGUACCCAAAAUUUGAACAGGGACACGGUCCAAACUCCGACGGGAGGAAGCAGUGAGGAAUAUUGGGCAAUGGGCGCUAGCCUGAACCAGCCGAGUAGCGUGAAGGAUGAAGGCUUAGGGGUCGUAAACUUCUUUUAAAUAAGAAUAUGUAUUAUAUGAAGAAGGAUCGGCUAACUCCGUGCCAGCCGCCGCGGUAAUUC